GGGACUACCUGCUGACUAAGCAAUCAAUAAGCGGAGGAAAA
rnacentral:rRNA from 1 species